GACGAACCGUGCAAACGUUGUUCGGAAUCACUGGGCUUAAAGGGCGCGUAGGCGGGUUCGUAAGUCUGUGGUGAAAGCCCCCAGCUUAACUGGGGAAGUGCCAUGGAUACUGCGAGUCUUGAGGAGGGUAGGGGCAUCUGGAACACUGGGUGGAGCGGUGAAAUGCGUUGAUAUCCAGUGGAACUCCGGUGGCGAAGGCAGGUCUCUGGGCCACUACUGACGCUGAGAGGCGAAAGCAUGGGGAGCGAACAGG
rnacentral:rRNA from 1 species